GACGUAGGGCGCGAGCGUUGUCCGGAUUUAUUGGGCGUAAAGAGCUCGUAGGCGGCUUGUUGCGUCAGCUGUGAAAACCCGCAGCUCAACUGUGGGCUUGCAGCUGAUACGGGCAGGCUUGAGUUCGGUAGGGGAGACUGGAAUUCCUGGUGUAGCGGUGAAAUGCGCAGAUAUCAGGAGGAACACCGGUGGCGAAGGCGGCAUCCUGGACCAAUUCUGACGCUGGAGGAGCGAAAGCCAGGGGAGCAAACGGG
rnacentral:rRNA from 1 species